rnacentral:rRNA from 1 species
CGGACGGGUGAGUAAUGUCUGGGAAACUGCCUGAUGGCGGGGGAUAACUACUGGAAACGGUAGCUAAUACCGCAUAAUGUCUACGGACCAAAGCGGGGGACCUCCGGGCCUCUUGCCAUCGGAUGUGCCCAGAUGGGAUUAGCUAGUAGGUGGGGUAACGGCUCACCUAGGCGACGAUCCCUAGCUGGUCUGAGAGGAUGACCAGCCACACUGGAACUGAGACACGGUCCAG